UUUUUGCGAAUUAAAAGCCAUUACUUGAAGAAGGGUGUCCAGGAUCCAUCUGGCCGCGGAAAGGUCUCCGCAACACAGACUAAGGACCUGCUUCUUUGGGAGAGAACAGACACCGGGGCGGGAGGAAAAAAGGGAGAGGCAGACGUCACUUCCCCUUGCCGGCUCCUGCAGCGGAUUGGUCGGCUGAGUGACAGAAAGGCAGACGAGGACUCGGAAAGGCACUGUCGGUGACAUCACGGGUAGGGCGACCUUCUAUGUAGAUGAGGUAGCGCAGGGACUGCUGCUUGGCCACCUGCUGCUUCGCCACGAAGGAGUUUCCAUGCCCUGGAGCGGGUUGAGGACCGCUGGUCGGACCUGAGAAUCCCAGCUGUGUGUCAGGGCUAGAAGGGCUCGGGAGUGCGCGUGGCAAGUGACCUUUGCGUGGGUGUGCAAGUGUUAUCUUCACAGCGGACGAUAUGGGAAUGGAAAGCAACACGUGGAUUCUCUCUUUCCCAGAGAAUAUAAAAAACUAACGUAAGGUAAGGACGAAGGUCUGGAGAUGGCUGCGCAAGAGAUGACAAAGUCCAACACCACGCUUGAGAGUGUCCAAUCAUCUCUUCUGGGGCAGCGUCUUUUUCUACAGUACUGAAUUGGGAAAACAAGCAACAAGAUUCAUGAAACUGGACAACUGUCUUUAUAACAUUACCAGUGAUAAAGCCAGUAAGGAAGGCUGGUUUGCAGUCAUCCAACCUGCCUCUUUACUUUCAUAAAUAUGGUUUCUCUCUGAUAUUAAAGGGCUUCCCAUUUCAAGCGGAAUGCUACAUCACAAGGAUAAGGAUGUGAAGAGAACCGGUUUCUUUUGUAAUCCUAAACGUUCCGCACGGCAGUUUUUGCGAAUUAAAAGCCAUUACUUGAAGAAGGGUGUCCAGGAUCCAUCUGGCCGCGGAAAGGUCUCCGCAACACAGACUAAGGACCUGCUUCUUUGGGAGAGAACAGACACCGGGGCGGGAGGAAAAAAGGGAGAGGCAGACGUCACUUCCCCUUGCCGGCUCCUGCAGCGGAUUGGUCGGCUGAGUGACAGAAAGGCAGACGAGGACUCGGAAAGGCACUGUCGGUGACAUCACGGGUAGGGCGACCUUCUAUGUAGAUGAGGUAGCGCAGGGACUGCUGCUUGGCCACCUGCUGCUUCGCCACGAAGGAGUUUCCAUGCCCUGGAGCGGGUUGAGGACCGCUGGUCGGACCUGAGAAUCCCAGCUGUGUGUCAGGGCUAGAAGGGCUCGGGAGUGCGCGUGGCAAGUGACCGUGAGUGAAAGAGUGACCCGUAUGAGGCUGUGGCGGGGCGGAGGUGUAGGAAGUCAUACUUACCUGGCAGGGGAGAUACCAUGAUCACGAAGGUGGUUUUCCCAGGGCGAGGCUUAUCCAUUGCACUCCGGAUGUGCUGACCCCUGCGAUUUCCCCAAAUGUGGGAAACUCGACUGCAUAAUUUGUGGUAGUGGGGGACUGCGUUCGCGCUUUCCCCUGGC